UGUGGCUGUCGUAAAAACCCUAUUUGUAAACAACCAGCCCUUUAACUCGGGGCUGCGUCAUAAACACGGCGCGCUUGGAAGACCACGAUGUCAUCUUCCUUCUGUCAGGAGGAUCCAAGUGAAGCUACAGGAGUUUCAUUAACGUCAACAACUUGGACCGAACGGUUUGUUUUGCUUGAUGAAGAGCAGGAAGGGCAGCCUGGAGAGAAAGAGAAGCCGGGUUGAGCCCACUACCAUCAUCCACGUACCACGAGGAAGAUGAGGGAGAGAAAUGAUCCUACCAUUAAAGAGACUGUGAAAAGAACGUUGAGAACAUCACCACUCUACAGGAAGACACAGUCCAGUAAUGGGUGUCAGAAGUUCAGUAGUGAACGACAGAAACAAACAAUCCAAAUUACCUGCAGAAAGCCCUUGAUGGACGCUUCAGCUGCAUCGUCAGACUGGCAGUACUGAUGCAUUUACUGAGAGGGGACGUGAGGGCCUACUCUGCGUGCUCAGAGUUCAAGCCCAGCAGGCUGCAGCGGGCCUGACAUAUUCUGGAACAGCAGCACAGUCUUUGGAUGACUCCUCUGAAGAUGAAAACAUGGCGAGUUCUUCUCAAGAGAAGCGGUACAGGUGUGCCUCAGCUCCACGGUCCCUCCUGCAGCCUCCGCUCCUGAUGCUAACCUCAUGUCUCCAUCACACCAAGCAGCAGACCUGGAUUGACAGACCUUUCUCCAGAGCUGCCCCCUCCCUCUGAAACCCCCCUCUCCAAAACACUAUUUGUGUAGUUUUUAAAGUAUUUUUUGCAUGAGAAUUGUUGAUCAUAACAUUUCCAGCAGAUGCCU